CCUACGGGGGGCUGCAGUGGGGAAUAUUGGACAAUGGGGGGAACCCUGAUCCAGCCAUGCCGCGUGUGUGAAGAAGGCCCUCGGGUUGCAAAGCACUUUCAGUGAGGAAGAACGCCUGGUGGUUAAUACCCAUCAGGAAAGACAUCACUCACAGAAGAAGCACCGGCUAACUCCGUGCCAGCAGCCGCGGUAAUACGGAGGGUGCGAGCGUUAAUCGGAAUUACUGGGCGUAAAGCGCGCGUAGGUGGCUUGAUAAGCCGGUUGUGAAAGCCCCGGGCUCAACCUGGGAACGGCAUCCGGAACUGUCAAGCUAGAGUGCAGGAGAGGAAGGUAGAAUUCCCGGUGUAGCGGUGAAAUGCGUAGAGAUCGGGAGGAAUACCAGUGGCGAAGGCGGCCUUCUGGAGUGACACUGACACUGAGGUGCGAAAGCGUGGGUAGCAAACAGGAUUAGAUACCCCAGUAGUC
rnacentral:rRNA from 1 species